rnacentral:misc_RNA from 1 species
CCACUGGAAACUUGAAAGCUUUAGACCUGACCUUCUAAACAUUACAGCUGAAACAAUAAGCUUUUGGCUUCAGCCCCCACAAACUCCAACCCUGAAUCCCAACUCCAACCUCAGAGAGUAUCGUGUAACUACAAUUUCGUGGUUUGUCAAUUCUCGAUCGACUGAAGUGAAUGUCCAAUAUGGAGUAACUAUGUCCAAUACUUAAAGAAAAGGGAAAAAGGAAAAUGAUCAACAGAAAGAAUUUUGUUUUGAAAAAAAUGAUGAAUGAAUUACUACAAAU